AAAGCUUUUACCUAAAGAAAAUAAAUAGUCAAGUCAGAGAGAAGAAAACAUUAAAAGGGGUUUUAAUGUGCAUUUUUUUGGUCCAUUACAACUUUUCAGGUCAACGAAGUAAGAUACUUUAAGUGUAAGUGUUUUUAUUUCUUUAUGCGUUUAUAUUCAAUUAAAAAUGCAUGGAUUGUCAGUAGACAUUCAUUUUUUUUAAGGAGAUAUGAAAUUCUACGAGAUUAUAAGAGGACCUAAGAUGGGUGAGUCACUUGGUCACCGAUAUACUCUAUAAGAUCAGAUGGGUGGUUUGGGUCGAUUGGAAUUGUGGAAGGGCGGUGAUGUGGACUACCAAGUGGAUCGUAGUAACAAAGAAUAAAUUUUUCAUUAAAUUUUUCUACCUUUAUAAUUAUUUGUUAAUUUUAAGACAUGUUUAGUGUUAUUUACUAGAUACAAUUGCAGUUAUUAUGUAUUAAAGACUUUUAUUUUGAUCUUUUUGCAUGUAAGGUAAAGAAAAAUGAAUUUUUGAUAA